rnacentral:lncRNA from 1 species
CAAAUGGAAACCCAGGUUUACCUGAGGUGCUAGAGCCUAAGAGUGAUUCUUUCCCAUCUCUACCUUCUAUUUUGUCACCAAUGGUCAGAGCUCUUCUCCAGUUUUUCUUGGUGAAAAUAGAUUUGAUUUCCAUGUAAAAUAAUUAGGCCUCUAUUUUUCUCAUUCCAAACAAUUUUUAAAAAAGGGAAACAAAAGGACCCCCCCCCCCGAAAAAAACAAAAACAAAAACAAAAAACAACUCAAACAAUAACCCCGGCUGUUUGUGAACUGAACCUGGGGUCCAUUUGUAAUAGAUAGCGGGAGGGAUUAAUUAUCCUGCAUGGAGACUGCAUAUCUAGAUCUUGGAAACUGCUCUUUUCUAAAGUAAGUGUCGGUUUCUCUGUUCUUUUUCAUUUCUUCUCACAGAAUGUUCUUCCUCCAUGCUCAAUUAAUCUCUGGAUGACAAGGGAGAGCUCCCUGGAAUGACAUACACCAGACAAAAUCUGGCCCCAAGACUUAUCCACUCGAUGACUUCAUUCUCAAUUGUGUUUGCUUAUUUUUUGUUGGCUUUUAAGUUUAAAAAGUUGGAGUACAUUCAGAAAAGUACACAUAUGUUCAGCCAAUACAUGUUCACAAGUUGAACAGGUUUGUGUCACCAACACUCAGGUUAAGGCACAAAACUUGCAGACUAUGGAAGUCCAGCUAGGUCCCUUCCAGUUGCUCCAACACCCUCUGCCCAAUCUCCAGUCCCACUCAGGGCAGCUCUCCUGCUUCUACCCCAUCUGGUGGAACAUUCUAGUAUGUCUG